CAUCCCUAUGAAGACCAUGUUCCGAAAUUAAAGUAGUGGCCUGAUCUUUAUUGAUGAGUUCUGAUUCUGAGGGAUA
rfam:Macleaya cordata isolate BLH2017 scaffold1365, whole genome shotgun sequence.